UGCAGUUUUCAGACCUACCAUGCUAUGCUGUGUUCCAUUGAGAUCUGACAAACUAAAAAAGGUCAAGGCUAGUUACUACUUGGAUGGUAGACUGCCAAGGAACAGCUCCAGUAUGCGCUGCAG
rnacentral:rRNA from 1 species